UACAGAGGGUGCAAGCGUUAAUCGGAAUUACUGGGCGUAAAGGGCGCGUAGGCGGUUAAUUAAGUUAGAUGUGAAAUACCAGGGCUUAACCUUGGGGUGGCAUUUAAUACUGGUUAGCUAGAGUAGAGUAGAGGGAAGUGGAAUUUCCAGUGUAGCGGUGAAAUGCGUAGAGAUUGGAAAGAACACCGGUGGCGAAGGCGGCUUCCUGGACUCAUACUGACGCUGAGGCGCGAAAGCGUGGGGAGCAAACAGG
rnacentral:misc_RNA from 1 species